UCAGAGGAGGGGGCAGCCACAGCUCCUGUCAUGGAGGGUAACUGUCCUAGAGGGGUCACCAAGGCAGGGUCUUGGGGCCUGGGUGCCUCCAAGCCAUAAUGCUGGGGGAACUAAUGUCUCUUUUAAGGAAUCUCCAUGGGAUACUUGCUUCCUCGGGCACCAUAGGAACAUUGGUGGCUUGGCUGAUCAGCUAUAAGCCAGUCUUGUUUGGGUUCCUAUUCCUUCUGCUGUUGCUUAGCAACUGGUUGGUCAAGCAUGAAGUCCAAGUCAAGCCUGCCCCACCAGAGCCCCAGAAGGAAGAGGCAGAGAAACCUAAGCCUCCUGAAGCCAAACCCAACGGCUGCAUCAUGAACACAAAGGAAGUUGAGAGGCUGCAUGCCUGCUUUGCCCUCCAGGACAAGGUCCUUGAACGGCUCAUGUUCAGCGAAAUGAAGCUGAAGGCCUUAGAAAAUCAGAUGUUCGCUGUAUGGAACAGAAUGAGUCACCACAGGAGGUCAGGCCGGAAGCGGACUUUUCCCAUGAGGAAACACAGACUAAGGAGGCAUGACUCCAUCUUCUCCACCAUCUCUGAUUGUACUUCUUCUAAUUCCCCUUCAUGAGAGCAGGAUCUCUGGACCCUAACUGCCUGGCUUUAAACCCCAGCUCUAUCAACUGCCAGCUGUGUGAUCUUGGACAAUUCUAAGUUGUUUAUCCUUGCUGUACCUCAGUCUGCUCAACUGGAAAAUGGGGGGAGUAGCACUACCAACCUGAUUGCUUGCUGUGAGGAUUCAAUUUGGACAAUGUUCAACAGCCUCUAGCAGCUGCCGAGGCCAAUGCCCAUGGCACCAACCUGUCGCAGUACUGAACUUAUCAUCACCCUUGCCCCUGGCCACCAUACCCAGCUAGAGGAGACCUCCCGGUGACUCACCCUCCGACAAUGGCUUAGACAUUGCUCCUAGUUGGCCACAACCACCAACAGCUGUGUCUCGGGCCUCCACAACCGUGUCCCCAUCCCUUGCUCAGAUGGGGUUAAGGCCCAUGGGCAGAAUAUUGAGCAGUUCACUUUAUAUCCCGGGACUGUUUUAUGAUUUGGAUAUAGGUCUUUGCGUCUGGCAUGGACUCCAUGGCCGGAUGGCUCAGGCCUCCACAACAGGCUCUGGACUGACAUUCUAGGCCCCCCUUCCUUCCACAGUGCCUCCCCUGGAGUUGCCAACAACCACUGGACAUCCCAUUACAAGACCAGCUCAUUUCUACCCCUGUUGUUCAUGCCACUCCAGUUGAUUUCUA